rnacentral:lncRNA from 1 species
GGAUUAUGGAAUGGUUUGGUAUGGUCAUGGACUGAUGGGUUUAAUCAUAGCAAUAGGUUUAAUAAUAGUAAUAACAAUAUAUGGUAAUAGUGGUGACAACAGUACGUGUGAUUCAUAAUGUGGGUUGGUUGAUAUGCCUAUCUAGGGGGAGAUAUACUUCGUCAUAGAACCAGGCAAUUGGAAGUGGUGUAGAAUAGAUAGAUUCCAACUCCUAAUACUGAGGCGGCAGAUUGGUUUUGACACUAGAAAAGAAUGGUCAGUAUUCGGGGCACCAUCAAAGGUUCAGAUCUUCUGUUUGUUAGCUCUGAUAGGAAACUAAGCUUACACAGGACCAUUUUGGUAAGAGUAUUAUCGCCCUGGAUUUUUAUGGAUGUCGUUGUGGACUAAAUGGUGAAUUUGCACCUCACACUUUUACUCUGUAUCGAAUUGUGGAAGGUAUGGAGUCCUUUGUUAAGUUGGUGGGUUAUCAUGGGUGAGUCCCAAUAAUUAAGAGGGGUUGGCCGUUCGGUGGUUUGCAUUGAGAUGAAAGGAUCUGGAGGAGGAGAUUCGGGAAGCCUUAUUCGUUGGGACAAUGUGGACCCUAUGGCUAAUCGAAAAUGGGGUAGUCUAACCAUAUGAAGGUUCGUGGAAGAUAUUGUGAGCUUGGUUGAAUUCAAUAACGCCGAUGUAAACUAUCGUUUUUUAAUACUUCUUGUACAAUUCAGGUUCCUAAAGAUAAAAAAGAACUGAAUGGGUUGCUCAGCGAGUCGAUCAAAUUUGAGACCAGCGUCUGGAGGUAGGAAAGGGGCGCUGCAAUAAAUACAGUCUGUUGUUCCUCUGUAUUUCUUGAGUAUUGUGAUGAGGGCAUAGUUGACACCUUGCCAAGUGAUGUGUCUUGUAUUAAAUUUUGGGAGCUUAUUGUUGAUUAGUGUGAGCAAAGGAAGGAGGAUCACGCUCUUGUAUUAGGGUAUAAUGUAUCUUUCCUUAACGCAAUAUUAUUCCGUUAGCUCAAAAAAAGUAAAGUGAAGAUGAAGUACGAGAGCUUACAGUUCCUAAGCUAUAUAAGUAAAGUUGCAACAAAUAGCACAUAAAAAACAAUCAAUCGAUUAAUGAAACAGAACUUACCUUUCUGUUGUUUUCCUUCGUACUUUUCUUGAGUAGGUGAGAGUGCAUAGGUGCCCCCUUUGCCAAGGGAUUGUCUUGUAUUACAUUUGGGAGCUUAUGUGAUUAGUGUGAGCAAAGGGAAGGAGGGUCAUGCUCUUGUAUUAGGGUAAUGUAGCUUUCAGAACGCAAUAUUAUUCCGUUAGCUCAAAAAAAGUAAAAGAUGAAGAUGAAGUACGAUAGCUUACAGUUCAUAGGAUAUAACGUAAGUGCAACAAACAACAAAUAAAACAAUCAAUCGAUAAUGCAACAGAACCUUACCUCAAAGAGGAUUGCAGAGUGGCCAUCAAAUAAAAACAACCAGAAGCUUCUUACAAUUUGCUGGUGCUGCAUAUUAAAGACAAAGAUCAGGAGAAGAAGAUGUUAAAUAACAAGAAGAAGAAAAAAUCUUUGACGAAAAAGAAGAAAGGUAAUCGUGAAACAGAGAAUAGAGCUAAUAUUAAGAGUAGAAGAGGUGUUGACCAAGUAAUAAGGUAUAAAAAUUUCAAAUCUAGUACAGUCAAAGCUCUUACAUGAGUCGGAGGAAUCCAAGGUGUGGGAUAUGGUUUAUCGGAUGAACGGAUGUCUCACCUCUACCAGAAGGACAACCUUUUAUAAUUAAAUGAACUAAACAUGAGAUCUGAUAGGUAGAUAGCAUUCACAAAAUCAUUAUAAAAUGCAGAAACCUACCCCAAUUCAUAAAAAAGAUUACCACAUCUUAAAUCAAUAGCUACUUACACUGAAGACUUAGGAAAACAAUCUCCAACAAAAACUGUAACUUGUAACUAUUUAAUUUAUCAAUCUAAUUUUAGUCAUAAACAACUGUACUAAUAGUCUAAUACUUGUCUAUGUUAAAUAAAUAAGUCAAAAAAAAGAAAGAAGCAGGUAUACGUUGUUAAACUAUAACUACUCUAGCAUGAUAUUGAACUACUCAUACCCAUGUAAUCUUAUCAAAAGACGCACAAGUCACGUAGUGACCUCUUUGAUAUAUUGAUGUAAGGCCAAAGUGCAUCGGUUUAAUUAGCAUCGUAUUCUUUCCACCUACAUUUGGACACGUGUGUGAAAAGUGAUAAAAACAUCGUCUGAUGAGAGAGAAUCUCAUGGGUUGACCACAAACAAGAAGGCUGUAAAUUGAAAGCCAUAACAGCAAGAGCUCAAAUUCAAAGGGUAAUGACCAAGAGAAGAACAAAAAUCAAAUAGUUCGCGGUUGAAAGCUUCAUUUUCAUGAAAUGGGAGGCUGUGACAUGAGAUCACAAGAUUCAUUGCACAAGACACUUUGAAGUGAAAUGGAUCAGCAAACCUUUAUUUAUAUCAACGAAAAUGUCCAACGUAAUCUUUUUAUGUAACAAUUCACUAAUCUCCAGUGCUAAGUUAGCAACAAUAGAAAAAUAAACUCUUCAAAAUGAAACAAUAGGUUCCACAUUACAUAAAAUGAAGAACAAUACACAACGAAGACUUACCCUUAAUGCAAUCUAGAACAAACACCACAAAGAAAAGACUCCUUUGUUCCAUAACAUGAUUUUGCCAUAUUAGCAAUCCAUUAAAUGAUAGCCCGCGCUUAAGCAUUGGGAACAAUGAGUCUGUUAGUUGUCCCUAGGGAAAUUCCCAUGAACAUUUAUGCAACAAUUCACUAUAUCUCCAGCGCUAAGUUUAGCCUACAAUAGAAAAUAACACACUAUCAAAUGAACAUUUAGGUUCCACAUACAUAUAAAUGAAGACAAUACAAACCGAAGACUCUACCCUUAAUGCAAUUCUAGAACACCACCACAAAGAAAAGACUCGUUUGUUCCAUAACAUGAUUUCGCCGUAUUAGCAAUCCAUUAAAUGAUAGCCCGUGCUUAAGCAUUGGGAACAAUUAGUUUGUUAGUUGUCCCUAGGGAAAUUCCCAUGAUUCAUCUUGGUAACUAUUUGGUGCAUUUUGUAAAAAGGGUUACAAGUGCCCUAAGAUUAGACAUGGUAAGGAGGGUUAACGGAGCCCAGGCAGAUUAUUAGCAAAAAGGAAAAAGUAAAUAUGCUAGGAGUGUUGAGCAGCUUCUCACCAUUCUCAUUCAACGCAAACAAUUAGUUGGGCCAGUUGAUCCGCAUGCAAUUGGCUGACGAACUAUUGGCAUUUUGGUUAAACAUCUUGUCGAAUCAGUUAGUUUUCGCGAGUCGGAGAGGGAGGGAGAGGGAGAUAGAUAAUAUGGAUGUGUUGUGUUACUGGAGAAGGUUAUAAGAGUGGUAUGGCUUCUAGUGGCAAGAGCAACCCUAAUAUGGUGUGGGGAUGGACAUUAAAAGUCAAUGUCUUCGUGUUUUUUAGGAGUCUGAGAUGCAACCCCUAAUUGAAGGAAUCAUCGAACAAAUGAUUAGAAUAGUACAAAUGAACGGGUUGAGGAAAGCCGUUUUGUGUUAUGGAAGGAAAUGAAGAUUAUAACAGACAUCAUAAGAUGCUAGGAGUGUGAUGCCCAAACUGGCAAAUUCUACUUCACAAGGUCAGAGGGUUGGAGUGGAGAGAGUAGAGUGGUGGGACCUGAUGUUGGCUGCCCCUAAUUGGUUAGGGUCUUGAUUAGGCCUGCUUUUACUAGAGUUUAUUUCGUUUUUGUUUCAUUCUUAUUUUUAGUUUUCUUCUUGGUGUCUUUUCUUCUUAUUAUUUUUUCUUUUCCUUCUCAUUGUACUUGGAUGGUUCCUGUCUCACCUUUUUUUAAUUUGGUUACUUGUAGAAAAGUACAGAUCUGUUUAGGUUGUAUUUCAACAAGCAUGCUAUUUAUGAAGGCGAGAUUCCAUAUUGAUAGGCAAUGUCUACACACUCCAUCUCUUGUGAUAUCUACAAGUGUUUAGAUAAAAAUAUCCCAAUGAGAAAACAAACACCGUCAAGAAACAAUCAUAAUCACUGUUUAAAAACAAGCAAUGCUGACCUAUCGAGAUGAUAACUCUCUAUCCUCAUUGGUCACAUUCAAGAGUCAAAUAACCUUAAUAUAAAAUCGGAAAAAUAGAAUGGGCUGACAUAGCGUAGGGUAAAACUCUAUUCCUCCAUGGUCAAUUCAAGGACUACACCAAUAACCUUAAUAUAAAUCGGCAAAAUGGAAUAUGCUUCUACUGAAAAUAGAAUUAAAAAAAAGAAAGAAAUACAAAAUGGAAAAAAAAAGAAAAAGAAAUCUAAAGCAUGGAUGUUAUACUAAAUAAUAAAGCACGCGGUUAUAGUAUUUAAUGCAAAAGGACAAACAAAAAGCAUCUAUAAAUAAGUUAUGUCGAAAAGAGCUCCAUACCAUUAAGUCUUUUCUUCUUCUCAAAUAUUUCUUUCUCCUCUUUUAGCUUUCAAAAAAAAAUAAAACUUGUCAACCGAGGAUGAUAAGAAUUUGACGCUCUCUUGGUAUGGAUCUAAAGACGAUCUUCCAGUUCAAAUCAAGUGAAGUCUACAUCACCUUUCAUUUAAUUUCUGGGCCUAGGUCUGAAAUAAGGAGAAUCUGUUCGCAAUCCCAUUGUUUUCCUAUCUGCCUAAAUUGUGUUGUACUUAGUUGUGUCUAAUACUUUUUCUUCUAACCAUGAUUUGAAACUGAAAAGAUGUCCACUUGCACGGGACCACAAGAUUCUAGUAGGUCAAAAUCGGACUAGAGAGAAGAUACCGAUAAUAUAAUUAAAAUUAUUAAACCUAAAAAUGCAAUAUAAAGUAAAGACAAGAAAGGCAAGAACAUAUUAAGGAUACUAAAAAUGAAGCCUCUGGUGCUAGAACUAAUUAGUCUACUUCUUUUCAGUGUUCUAAAAAUCGGCCCGCUCAGGCCACCUCGGCCCUAGGCGCUGUGCCCCCGGUUCCGCCUACCGCUAGCGCUUUUUGAGACCUAAAUUAUCAUUCUAUCGUCCCUAAUAUAUUACUAUAAACAGUUGAAAUCUACUAUGUAAUGUCA